AUGUCCACCAAUGGCGUCGAGCUCGAUGGGGUGUGUGCUCCGCCCGCGGCAUGGAACAGCUGCGCCUAUCCAGUUGAGUCGCAGGAUUCGAUGAGCGUCCCAACCAUGGCGUUUGGCACCGGCGGCGACGCACAGCUAGUCAGGGAUGCAGCUAGGGCCGAGGUGUGUUCUGAAGCAACAAGUGGUUGGACACGCAGGGUGAGGAUCGGAAAAGCCCCGGAGGAAAGGGAGAUGAACCCAAAUAGGAAAUCAGCUCUUGAAUUGUCUCUGCGCGCUUAUGCUGAUAAGAAGGAUGGCCCUGUUCUCUGUCCAAGUAUUGGAACAAGCUUUGACUCUAUUGACGAGGCUUAUGAGUUCUACAAUCUUUAUUCAUGGGAAUGUGGUUUUGGAGUUAGGCUCGCGAAAAGUAGACUGAAUGUAGAGAGGAAGAGAUGCAUGCAAGAGAUCGUGUGUGCUUGUGCGGGCAAACCAAUCAGGGAAAACAGCCGCUCGUCCAGGUGUGGCUGCAACGCCAUGAUAAGACUGUUGCGGUCAAAUGACAAAGGGUGGUAUAUUGCAGAACACAAAGAUGCCCAUAAUCACCCGCUGUCUUUGACGUGUGGGCAGAAGCUGCACUGGAAGUCUCAUAGACAUAUAGAUAGAUACACCAAGGAUCUAGUUAAACAGUUGAGAGACAAUAAUGUGGGGCUUGGAAAGGUGUUCAGUAUCGUUGGUAGUUUUUUCGGUUCAGUAGAUAAUGUGCCAUUUACGAAGAGGUCGUUGAAGACACUCUGUAGGAAACUAAACAGAGAGCAGUCUGACAUGGAUGCAGUGAAGAGAGCAGUCUGA
rnacentral:rRNA from 1 species